ACAGCAGUCGCCGCGGUAAUACGUAGGUCCCGAGCGUUGUCCGGAUUUAUUGGGCGUAAAGGGAGCGCAGGCGGUUUAGUAAGUCUGAAGUUAAAGGCAUUGGCUCAACCAAUGUAUGCUUUGGAAACCGUUAGACUUGAGUGCAGAGGGGGAGAGUGGAAUUCCAUGUGUAGCGGUGAAAUGCGUAGAUAUAUGGAGGAACACCGGUGGCGAAAGCGGCUCUCUGGUCUGUCACUGACGCUGAGGCUCGAAAGCGUGGGUAGCGAACAGGAUUAGAUACCCCGUAGUCCCUGUCUCUUAUACAC
rnacentral:rRNA from 1 species